rnacentral:rRNA from 1 species
GCUCAGGAUGAACGCUGGCGGCGUGCUUAACACAUGCAAGUCGAACGAAGAAUUUUAAAUGAGACUUCGGUGGAUUUUGAAAUUCUUAGUGGCGGACGGGUGAGUAACGCGUGGGCAACCUGCCCUGUACAGGGGGACAACAGCUGGAAACGGCUGCUAAUACCGCAUAAGCGCACAGCAUCGCAUGAUGCCGUGUGAAAAACUCCGGUGGUACAGGAUGGGCCCGCGUUGGAUUAGGUAGUUGGUGGGGUAACGGCCUACCAAGCCGACGAUCCAUAGCCGACCUGAGAGGGUGACCGGCCACAUUGGGACUGAGACACGGCCCAAACUCCUACGGGAGGCAGCAGUA